rnacentral:rRNA from 1 species
GACGAACCGAGCGAACGUUGUUCGGAAUCACUGGGCUUAAAGGGCGCGUAGGCGGGCUCUCAAGUCCGGGGUGAAAUCCCACAGCUCAACUGUGGAACUGCCUCGGAUACUGGGGGCCUCGAGGGUGGUAGGGGUAUGCGGAACUAUCGGUGUAGUGGUGAAAUGCGUAGAUAUCGGGAGGAACACCAGUGGCGAAGGCGACUACCUGGCCUGUUCUUGACGCUGAGGCGCGAAAGCUAGGGGAGCAAACGGG